rnacentral:rRNA from 1 species
UACGAAGGGGGCUAGCGUUGCUCGGAAUCACUGGGCGUAAAGCGCACGUAGGCGGAUUGCUAAGUCAGGGGUGAAAUCCUGGAGCUCAACUCCAGAACUGCCUUUGAUACUGAGGGCCUUGAGACCGGAAGAGGUCGGCGGAACUGCGAGUGUAGAGGUGAAAUUCGUAGAUAUUCGCAAGAACACCAGUGGCGAAGGCGGCCGACUGGUCCGGUUCUGACGCUGAGGCGCGAAAGCGUGGGGAGCAAACAGG